rnacentral:rRNA from 1 species
GACAGAGGGUGCAAACGUUGUUCGGAAUUACUGGGCGUAAAGCGCGUGUAGGCGGCCAUCUAAGUCGGGCGUGAAAUCCCACGGCUCAACCCGUGGAAGUGCACUCGAAACUGGAUGGCUAGAGUCCUGGAGAGGAAGGUGGAAUGCUUGGUGUAGAGGUGAAAUUCGUAGAUAUCAAGCGGAACACCGGUGGCGAAGGCGGCAUCCUGGACCGGUAUUGACGCUGAGGCGCGGAAAGCCAGGGAGCAACGGG